rnacentral:rRNA from 1 species
GAGUUUGAUCCUGGCUCAGGAUGAACGCUAGCGGCAGGCCUAAUACAUGCAAGUCGAACGGUGUCUAGCAAUAGGCAUAGUGGCGCACGGGUGCGUAACGCGUAACCAACCUACCCACAACUGGGGGAUAGCCCGCCGAAAGGCGGAUUAAUACCGCAUAAGCUCUGCAACCGGCAUCGGUUGUUUAGUAAAGAUUUAUUGGUUGUGGAUGGGGUUGCGUGCCAUUAGCUAGUUGGUGAGGUAACGGCUCACCAAGGCGACGAUGGCUAGGGGAGCUGAGAGGCUGGUCCCCCACACGGGCACUGAGAUACGGGCCCGACUCCUACGGGAGGCAGCAGUAGGGAAUAUUGGGCAAUGGCCGAGAGGCUGACCCAGCCAUGCCGCGUGCAGGAUGAAGGCUUUCUGAGUCGUAAACUGCUUUUAUCAGGGAAGAAUAAGGGUUGUGCGCAGCCUGAUGACGGUACCUGAGGAAUAAGCACCGGCUAACUCCGUGCCAGCAGCCGCGGUAAUACGGAGGGUGCGAGCGUUGUCCGGAUUUAUUGGGUUUAAAGGGUGCGUAGGCGGCCGUGUAAGUCUGGGGUGAAAGCCCGCUGCUCAACAGCGGAACUGCCCUGGAUACUGCGCGGCUUGAGGACAGACGAGGUUGGCGGAAUAGAAGAUGUAGCGGUGAAAUGCAUAGAUAUCUUCUAGAACCCCGAUUGCGAAGGCAGCUGACUAGACUGGUACUGACGCUGAGGCACGAAAGCGUGGGGAGCGAACAGGAUUAGAUACCCUGGUAGUCCACGCCGUAAACGAUGGAUACUCGCUGCGGGCGAAUCCAGUCGUGCUGCGAGCUUAGCGAAAGCGGUAAGUAUCCCACCUGGGGAGUACGCUCGCAAGAGUGAAACUCAAAGGAAUUGACGG